rnacentral:rRNA from 1 species
GACGGAGGAUGCAAGUGUUAUCCGGAAUCACUGGGCGUAAAGCGUCUGUAGGUGGCUUUUUAAGUCCGCCGUCAAAUCCCAGGGCUCAACCCUGGACAGGCGGUGGAAACUACCAAGCUGGAGUACGGUAGGGCAGAGGGAAUUCCGGUGGAGCGGUGAAAUGCGUAGAGAUCGGAAAGAACACCAACGGCGAAAGCACUCUGCUGGCCGACACUGACACUGAGAGACGAAAGCUAGGGGAGCGAAUGGG